UACGGGGGGGGCAAGCGUUGUUCGGAAUUACUGGGCGUAAAGGGCUCGUAGGUGGCCAACUAAGUCAGACGUGAAAUCCCUCGGCUUAACCGGGGAACUGCGUCUGAUACUGGAUGGCUUGAGUUUGGGAGAGGGAUGCGGAAUUCCAGGUGUAGCGGUGAAAUGCGUAGAUAUCGUGAGGAACACCAGAGGCGAAGGCGGCUACCUGGACAGUUACUGACGCUCAGGCACGAAAGCGUGGGGAGCAAAAGGG
rnacentral:rRNA from 1 species